rnacentral:rRNA from 1 species
GACGAACGCUGGCGGCGUGCUUAACACAUGCAAGUCGAACGGGCCUUGUCCCCUUUUUUUUUUGGGGGUGGGGUUAGUGGCGAACGGGUGAGUAACACGUGAGUAACCUGCCCCUCACUUCUGGAUAACCGCUUGAAAGGGUGGCUAAUACGGGGUGUUCUGGCCUGCUCGCAUGGGUGGGUUUGGAAAGAUUCGCCCGGUUUUGGUUGUUUUGGUGGGGGUUGGGCUCGCGGCCUAUCAGCUUGUUGGUGGGGUGAUGGCCUGCCAAGGCUUUGACGGGUGGCCGGCCUGAGAGGGUGGGCGGUCACACUGGGACUGAGACACGGCCCAGACUCCUACGGGAGGCAGCAGUGGGGAAUAUUGCACAAUGGGCGCAAGCCUGAUGCAGCGACGCCGCGUGAGGGAUGGAGGCCUUCGGGUUGUGAACCUCUUUCGCCAGUGAAGAAGGUCCUGCUCUUUGUGGUGGGGUUGACGGUAGCUGGGUUAAUGAAGCGCCGGCUAACUACGUG